GCCACGGGACUUCAAUUAAAAACCAGACCAGGCCACUUUUAAUCGCUUUAAUGAGAAAUUAGGGUUUUUUAAAAAACAAUCUUUUAAAAUUGUCUGUCUACUUCUAACAGUGCAGCCUAUAGUGGUGGGAGAUGAGGGGAUAAAUAUGGCCUUUUGAAGAGCAGCCAUGGCUGAGUGCUAUAUGGGACUACAGAGAAUUAUCAACAGGCUUUUGCUUUAGCAAAUGUCAUGCUACCAGAAGAAUGGUGCAGUUUGUGGCAGCUCUCAGUGACACCUGAUUAAGGAUCUGAGGAGGAAGCCGUCAGUUACCUACAACUCCAUCAGCACUGUAUCAUGUUUACUUUUGGCAUCUUAGCUAUUUUGAUGUUUGCCUCGAG